CAAAUACUCCCUCCGUCCGGAAAUACUUGUCAUCAAAAUGGAUAAAAGGAAAUGUAUCUAGACGUAUUUUAGUUGUAGAUACAUCUCUUUUUAUCCAUUUUGAUGACAAGUAUUUUCGGACGGAGGGAGUAGAAA
rfam:Triticum aestivum genome assembly, contig: Triticum_aestivum_CS42_TGACv1_scaffold_617542_7DL